CAAGGUUUGCUGGCACUCCCAGACCUGUGACUUCUUAGGAUAUUUCUGCUCCAGCGACAGUCCUGCAGAGGAGCGCACACAAUAUUGGUCAGUGAGGAGCCUGGGCACCUGGGGUCUGCAGGGACCUAGCCCAUCACAACUCCUCUCACUUGGGCUGGUGAUGAAGAUGAAAAGCUGAUGGACAGCCUUCAUCGCCUCAUCUCUGGUCGCCUCAUCCGUGGAGGUGCAGCACAGGAUGAGGUGUGCGGCCAGCUUCCCCAGCAUGGGGAAGCGUUGGUUCUCCUUGCACUUGUGCUGGAACACCGUGACUCCUAUGAGGCAGCAGCACAUCUGGGGGGAGAGGAAGCAGCGGUGCAUGGCUGAGCAGGUGGGUUCCGGCUGGGGAGCCAGGGCUGGGGCACUGGAGCUGUGCGCACCAGGGCUCCUUACCUCAGGCAAGCAGCAGGUGUUGGUGAAGGUGAGCAGCCUAGCAAUGCACGCCACGGCCCUCUCCUCCACGGCUGCCAGCUGGCACAUGGUGAAGGGCAGCAGGAGCUGUGGAGAUAAAAGCUGCUGGUGACACACAGCAUGGGGUGCUCGUCCUUCCGCUUGCUGCCCAGCUGCAGUGGGGGCGGCUGGUUGCAUCCCUGUCCUGCUGCAGCCCCGCCGCCUUUCCACUGCUCCCCACCCUUCCUUCUAACCCAGCAAGGGCCAGCCUCUGGCCAGCAACCCCUCCCCGAGGGGGCCUUGUGUGGCUUUCCCCCUUCACGGCCUCAAACCACCUGCGCAAAUCCCAGCCUUGCCCCAGACAGACCUCCAAGAUGUUCUGCAGCUCCAUGAGGACAGAGGCGCCGGCCCUGCCCACCAGCCCCUGCAGCAGGCGGUGCAGGGCUUCCAUGGUCUGCAAGGAGGACAGGGGUCAGGGCGGCCUUCCCUGCUGCAUCCUGCUCGCAGCAGAGAGGCAUCCCAGGUGGCGGUGCCCAGGAAGCGUCUCCAGGGCCCAGCCUUUGCGCACCUCCGUGUAGAGUGCAGUGUCCGGGUCCUCUGUGUCCUCGUGGCGAGGGAGGUGAAAGACGCUGCUGAUGCAGGCGUACAGGAGGCUGCUCUUCUGCUUCUCUGGAAGCAGCUGCGCAGCGCUGUGAGGGGAGAGAGGGCAGAGCGUGAUGCUUGGCUUGGCAUGCUGUG
rnacentral:lncRNA from 1 species